UGGAUACUCUUCAUAUGGAGCUGUUAGUGUUCCAGGAUAUUUCACGGAAUAUGAAAGAUCUCAUUACAUUUAUGAUCUAAACUGUGAUGGUAAUGAGUCGAGUAUCUGGAAUUGCUCUUAUGAUACGUUAAAUAGCAAUAAUUGCAAUGAACAACAAGAUGCUUCAGUUUAUUGCCAAGAUAUUAGUACCCUAAAGGCAGAUUGUACUGAUGGUGAUGUUAGAUUAGUUGGUGGUAGUACAGAAUAUGAAGGAAGAGUUGAAGUAUGCAUUAAUAAAGCAUGGGGCACAAUCUGUAAAUCUGGCUGGAAUGAAAAUGAUAUUCAUGUAGCCUGCAGACAGCUUGGACAUGCAG